AGGUGAUAUGAACCGUUAUAACCGGCGAUUUCCGAAUGGGGAAACCCAGUGUGUUUCGACACACUAUCAUUAACUGAAUCCAUAGGUUAAUGAGGCGAACCGGGGGAACUGAAACAUCUAAGUACCCCGAGGAAAAGAAAUCAACCGAGAUUCCCCCAGUAGCGGCGAGCGAACGGGGAGGAGCCCAGAGCCUGAAUCAGUGUGUGUGUUAGUGGAAGCGUCUGGAAAGGCGCGCGAUACAGGGUGACAGCCCCGUACACAAAAAUGCACAUGCUGUGAGCUCGAUGAGUAGGGCGGGACACGUGGUAUCCUGUCUGAAUAUGGGGGGACCAUCCUCCAAGGCUAAAUACUCCUGACUGACCGAUAGUGAACCAGUACCGUGAGGGAAAGGCGAAAAGAACCCCGGCGAGGGGAGUGAAAAAGAACCUGAAACCGUGUACGUACAAGCAGUGGGAGCCUCUUAAUGGGGUGACUGCGUACCUUUUGUAUAAUGGGUCAGCGACUUAUAUUCUGUAGCAAGGUUAACCGAAUAGGGGAGCCGAAGGGAAACCGAGUCUUAACUGGGCGUUAAGUUGCAGGGUAUAGACCCGAAACCCGGUGAUCUAGCCAUGGGCAGGUUGAAGGUUGGGUAACACUAACUGGAGGACCGAACCGACUAAUGUUGAAAAAUUAGCGGAUGACUUGUGGCUGGGGGUGAAAGGCCAAUCAAACCGGGAGAUAGCUGGUUCUCCCCGAAAGCUAUUUAGGUAGCGCCUCGUGAAUUCAUCUCCGGGGGUAGAGCACUGUUUCGGCAAGGGGGUCAUCCCGACUUACCAACCCGAUGCAAACUGCGAAUACCGGAGAAUGUUAUCACGGGAGACACACGGCGGGUGCUAACGUCCGUCGUGAAGAGGGAAACAACCCAGACCGCCAGCUAAGGUCCCAAAGUCAUGGUUAAGUGGGAAACGAUGUGGGAAGGCCCAGACAGCCAGGAUGUUGGCUUAGAAGCAGCCAUCAUUUAAAGAAAGCGUAAUAGCUCACUGGUCGAGUCGGCCUGCGCGGAAGAUGUAACGGGGCUAAACCAUGCACCGAAGCUGCGGCAGCGACACUAUGUGUUGUUGGGUAGGGGAGCGUUCUGUAAGCCUGUGAAGGUGGCCUGUGAGGGUUGCUGGAGGUAUCAGAAGUGCGAAUGCUGACAUAAGUAACGAUAAAGCGGGUGAAAAGCCCGCUCGCCGGAAGACCAAGGGUUCCUGUCCAACGUUAAUCGGGGCAGGGUGAGUCGACCCCUAAGGCGAGGCCGAAAGGCGUAGUCGAUGGGAAACAGGUUAAUAUUCCUGUACUUGGUGUUACUGCGAAGGGGGGACGGAGAAGGCUAUGUUGGCCGGGCGACGGUUGUCCCGGUUUAAGCGUGUAGGCUGGUUUUCCAGGCAAAUCCGGAAAACCAAGGCUGAGGCGUGAUGACGAGGCACUACGGUGCUGAAGUGACAAAUGCCCUGCUUCCAGGAAAAGCCUCUAAGCAUCAGGUAACAUCAAAUCGUACCCCAAACCGACACAGGUGGUCAGGUAGAGAAUACCAAGGCGCUUGAGAGAACUCGGGUGAAGGAACUAGGCAAAAUGGUGCCGUAACUUCGGGAGAAGGCACGCUGAUAUGUAGGUGAAGCGACUUGCUCGUGGAGCUGAAAUCAGUCGAAGAUACCAGCUGGCUGCAACUGUUUAUUAAAAACACAGCACUGUGCAAACACGAAAGUGGACGUAUACGGUGUGACGCCUGCCCGGUGCCGGAAGGUUAAUUGAUGGGGUUAGCGGUAACGCGAAGCUCUUGAUCGAAGCCCCGGUAAACGGCGGCCGUAACUAUAACGGUCCUAAGGUAGCGAAAUUCCUUGUCGGGUAAGUUCCGACCUGCACGAAUGGCGUAAUGAUGGCCAGGCUGUCUCCACCCGAGACUCAGUGAAAUUGAACUCGCUGUGAAGAUGCAGUGUACCCGCGGCAAGACGGAAAGACCCCGUGAACCUUUACUAUAGCUUGACACUGAACAUUGAGCCUUGAUGUGUAGGAUAGGUGGGAGGCUUUGAAGUGUGGACGCCAGUCUGCAUGGAGCCGACCUUGAAAUACCACCCUUUAAUGUUUGAUGUUCUAACGUUGGCCCCUAAUCGGGGUUGCGGACAGUGUCUGGUGGGUAGUUUGACUGGGGCGGUCUCCUCCUAAAGAGUAACGGAGGAGCACGAAGGUUGGCUAAUCCUGGUCGGACAUCAGGAGGUUAGUGCAAUGGCAUAAGCCAGCUUGACUGCGAGCGUGACGGCGCGAGCAGGUGCGAAAGCAGGUCAUAGUGAUCCGGUGGUUCUGAAUGGAAGGGCCAUCGCUCAACGGAUAAAAGGUACUCCGGGGAUAACAGGCUGAUACCGCCCAAGAGUUCAUAUCGACGGCGGUGUUUGGCACCUCGAUGUCGGCUCAUCACAUCCUGGGGCUGAAGUAGGUCCCAAGGGUAUGGCUGUUCGCCAUUUAAAGUGGUACGCGAGCUGGGUUUAGAACGUCGUGAGACAGUUCGGUCCCUAUCUGCCGUGGGCGCUGGAGAACUGAGGGGGGCUGCUCCUAGU
rnacentral:rRNA from 1 species